AGUUCGGAGAGUUUGAUCUUGGCUCAGGACGAACGCUGACGGUGUGCUUUAGGCAUGCAAGUCGAACGAGAAAGCCCUUCGGGGUGAGUAAAGUGGCGAACGGGUGAGUAACACGUGGGCAACCUGCCCCUCGCAGGGGGACAACCGGAGGAAACUCCGGCUAAUACCCCGUACGCUCUACGCGCCGCAUGGCGAGUAGAGGAAAGGUAGCUUCGGCCAUCCGGCGAGGGAUGGGCCCGCGGUGCAUUAGCUAGUUGGUGGGGUAACGGCCCACCAAGGCGACGAUGCGUAGCUGGUCUGAGAGGAUGAUCAGCCACACUGGGACUGAGACACGGCCCAGACUCCUACGGGAGGCAGCAGCCAGGAAUCUUGGGCAAUGGGCGAAAGCCUGACCCAGCAACACCGUGUGGGCGAUGAAGGCCUUCGGGUCGUAAAGCCCUGUUGAUAGGGACGAAGGGCGAAGGGUUAAUAGCCCCUAGCUUGACGGUACCUUUCGAGGAAGCCCCGGCUAACUACGUGCCAGCAGCCGCGGUAAUACGUAGGGGGCGAGCGUUGUCCGGAAUUAUUGGGCGUAAAGAGCGUGUAGGCGGUUCGGUAAGUCUGUCGUGAAAACCUGAGGCUCAACCUUGGGCGUGCGGUGGAUACUGCCGGGCUAGAGGGUGGUAGAGGCGAGUGGAAUUCCCGGUGUAGCGGUGGAAUGCGCAGAUAUCGGGAGGAACACCAGUAGCGAAGGCGGCUCGCUGGGCCAUACCUGACGCUGAGACGCGAAAGCUAGGGGAGCGAACAGGAUUAGAUACCCUGGUAGUCCUAGCCGUAAACGAUGGACACUAGGUGUGGGCGGAGUCGAAUCUGUCUGUGCCGAAGCUAACGCGUUAAGUGUCCCGCCUGGGGAGUACGGCCGCAAGGCUAAAACUCAAAAGAAUUGACGGGGGCCCGCACAAGCAGCGGAGCAUGUUCUUUAAUUCGAUGCAACGCGAAGAACCUUACCUGGACUUGACAU
rnacentral:rRNA from 1 species